GGCUCAGAGCGAACGUUAGCGGCAGGCUUACACAUGCAAGUCGAACGAGAAAGUAUGCGCUUGCGUAUACGAGUAGAGUGGCGCACGGGUGAGUAACACGUAAACAAUCUAUCCUUUGGUUGGGGAUAACUACUGGAAACGGUAGCUAAUACCCGAUAAGUCUGAGAGGUCUGCGGAUUUUUCAGAGAAAGGCGAGACACGCCGGAGGGUGAGUUUGCGUCCCAUCAGCUAGAUGGUAGGGUAAGGGCCUACCAUGGCGAUGACGGGUAGCUGGUUUGAGAGGAUGAUCAGCCACACUGGGACUGAGACACGGCCCAGACUCCUACGGGAGGCAGCAGUGGGGAAUAUUGGACAAUGGGGGCAACCCUGAUCCAGCCAUGCCGCGUGAAGGAAGAAGGUUUUCGGAUCGUAAACUUCUGUUGGGGGGGAAGAAAGACCGUUUUAUAGACGGUGAUGACGGUACCUCCUUAGCAAGCACCGGCUAACUCCGUGCCAGCAGCCGCGGUAAUACGGAGGGUGCGAACGUUGCUCGGAAUCACUGGGCUUAAAGGGCUCGUAGGCGGUUAUGUAAGUUAGGUGUGAAAUCCCCGGGCUUAACCCGGGACGUGCACUUAAAACUGUGUAACUGGAGUACAGGAGAGGAUAGCGGAAUUCCCGGUGUAGAGGUGAAAUUCGUAGAUAUCGGGAAGAACACCAGAGGCGAAGGCGGCUAUCUGGACUGUAACUGACGCUGAUGAGCGAAAGCGUGGGUAGCGAACAGGAUUAGAUACCCUGGUAGUCCACGCUGUAAACGAUGAGUGCUAGACGUCGGGUGUAUUAACACAUUCGGUGUCGCAGUUAACGCGCUAAGCACUCCGCCUGGGGAGUACGGCCGCAAGGCUAAAACUCCAAGGAAUUGACGGGGGCC
rnacentral:rRNA from 1 species